GCUUCCCCUUGUCUCUGGCUGAGGAAAAGUGGUGGGAACUGACUUUUGCGCAUGUCUACAGCGAGGUUUGCACACUGUUGGACCUUCUUGGAGUGUUGCUUCAUGUACAGUCUCUUGGCAAUUCAUUGGGGUUGCUUUUAACUCUCUCUCUUCUCUCUCUCUCUCUCUCUCUCUCUCUCUCUCUCUCUCUCUCUCUCUCUCUCUCCUUUCCUUCUUUCCUUUCUCUUUCUUCCUUUCUUUCGCCCUUCCUCCUUUCUUUCUCUUUCAUUCAUUCAUUCAUUCUUUCUUUCUCCCUUCUUUCCUUUUCCUUCCUUCUUUCUCUGUCUUUCUCCAUUCCUCCUUUCUUUCUCUUCCUUCCUUCCUUCCUCCCUUUCUCUCUCUCUCUCUCUCUCUCUCUCUCUCCCUUCUUUCCUUUUUUCCUUUCUAGUCUUUCUUUUGGACUAUUUUGUUUUUCUCUUCCCAUAUUUUACAAACCUCCCUACCCACCCAACUUCAUAUUCUCUCUUUUCCUUCCAAAACGAACAAACAAACCAAACUAGCAGACUCAUCCACAAAAAUGCCCAAACUAAACAAAGGGAAACCAAAAAGCCCACCACAGAAUAAAACAAAACAUGGAGUUCAAUUUUUCUUGGCUUUGGUCACCUCUGGAGUGUGGUGGUUAUGCACUGUGAUGCUCCGUUGGAGAAAACCAGUUGUCCCUUGGCACACAGAGAGGCCCACAUCCAGCCAUGCCUUCCUAUUGGGUCUGUGAAGAAGCGUAUACUGGUAAGUUUUCUGAACUUUUCUUUGGAAUUUAUGGUUCACUUGUCUCCACAAAGGAUCAUCCCCCUAUAAGCAACAUGUAUAGGCAAGCAUAUAGUCUGUGUCCUGUAAUCAAACAUGUGGCCCCUAUAGACAAUAAAGACCUAGCUGGCAUUUAGUACAAAGACAGCCCUCAUGGUUGUUCAGUUGUGGAAUAUGCAGGGGAUCCCUUUCUAGAAUUUAAGCACCAUGCUGGAAAUACCAAAGACUAUUAAUACCCUGAACAUUUUUAUACUCUUGACUUGGCACGGGUGCGAGGUGGGACUGGGAACAUUUGCAGUGACUAUACCGUGAAGGUUGGCAGUCUGGGACUUGGCAAUGAGUGAUGCUUUCGUCUUGGAGCUGCAGACUGGUCCAAAUAACACAUUUGUAUUUUUGUUCUCUGGAGCUCUAGUCUCUUCUAGUAAAAAAAAAAAAAAAGACUGAUUAACAUGUAAUGGAUGUUACCCCAAAAUUUGCCUUUGAAAAAUAUACAAUUUGGUGUUUUUAGUUUCGUCCUGGAAUUGUACAAUUCUUUUUGUUGCUCAAUUUAGAAACUUAUUUUGGGGACAUGUUCCUCUUAUUGUUUUCUUCUAAUACUUAUUAGAAUAAUCUUAUGGUUUGUUUGUUUUAAAAAUAUGCACUGGUGCCCUGGAAUUGGCUCUAAGUAAAAUUUGCCUGAACACCUGUGUCAAAGAAGGUCUUGGGAACAGAGUCUCAUUUCAUCCGGUUUAGUGCCAUAGCAAGUCUUUGCAAUUCAGCGUUUACAGAGAGCAUGAUAGCUUGACGUUGAUUCACUGUAUUUCGUAUGUGUGUGAUGUAUUUGUAUGUUUGUGUGUGUGCGCUUGUGUGUAUAAAAAAUGUGAGCAUUGAGAGCUGAAGUCAGUUAUAUUCUUCACUCACUUUUCACCUCGAUUUUUGAGAUAGGUUCUCCCCUGAAUACAGAGCUGGUAGAUUUGGCUAGGCUGACUGGCCAGGAAGCUCUAGAGUGUGGCUCUCUCUAUCUCCCCUCAGUGCUGGGCUUACAGAUGCAUGCCGCCAUGCUUGGCAUUUUACCCAGUGAGCCAUCCAUCUCCCUAGGCCCUUAACCAAUUUUCUAAAUGUAGGAGAUGUUCUCCAGAGAAAAAUAUCAGGUCUAUGCAUUUGAAUGGGCCACGCUCGCCUGUCAGUUCAAAGCCGUGAAUUUAUUUUAAUUUCAUAAGACUCAUUACUAUAAAACAUAUGAAAUUUACAUGUGCACUCCACUGGCAUUGCAAAAUUUGAAAGAUGUCAUGAUACAGGUUGAUUAACAUAAAGCACCCCACUGUUUCAUGAAACAUACAGCUAAAAUACUAAUUUUUUUAUGAUUAUAGAACAAUAAUUACAGUAGUCUCACUCUCAACCUGUAUUCAUUUAUUUUGUCCCCAGUAUUUACUGCCUGCCAAGGUUGUGGAUGGGAUAAGGCACAGAUUCAGCCUUCAGGAACACGUUUUUGAUCCUCUCUAGCCUUCUUUAGUAUUUCAUUACAUAGUGCUUGAUGUUGAAUUAAAUUUCCAUUUUUGGGUAAACACUUAGCUCAAUUAACUGUCAGUCUCUGAUGUUUGAUAGCUUAGCUGACUCCUCCUUCCCUGUGUUUACAAACUCCAUUUUGUACAUGACUAUUUUCUCCCUAGCCCCACCCCCAACUCACUGAUUGACACAGUCUCCUGUCAAUAUAUCCAGUACUCCAUCUUUCCAUGUUGUUAGGGAAUAUAAUUUGAUGUUUUCUUCCAGUUAUAAUAACUAUAAAACCUGCUUCAUUUGCUUUUUUGGUGAAUACAAGUGAGUCUUGAUUUUUUUCAAACUUUUGUUUAGAUUUAUUCAUUUUAUUUUGUGUGUGUGUUUGUCUGCAUGUAUGUUUAUGAACCAUAUUCAUAUCGGUGGUACCUUUGGAUGUCAGAAGGGCUCAGAUGCCUUGGAACUAGAGUUACAGAUGGCUGUGAACCACCAUGUGUGUGCUGGGACCUAAACUCAUUUAGACUCUAUAAGGCCAAGUGCUCUUAACCAUUGAACCACCCCUCCAGCCCUGGUCUUGAUUCUCAAGUAUCAUGAGCUGAUGACAGCUCUGAGUUGACGCGUAGGCCUCCAGAAUCCUGUAAAAUUCAAACCCAGUCCUUAACAUUUGUGCUGGUCUGAAUGAGGAUGGCCUCAUAGACUUAUAUAUAAAUGCUUGGUCCACAUUUGGUGGAAUUGUUUGGGAAGGAUUAGGAGAUGUGGCCUUGUUGGAGGAGAUGUGUCACUAGGGAUGGGCUUUGAGGUUUCAAAAGUCCACACGAUUCUCAGUAGUCUCUUUCUGCCUCAUGGUUGUAUUUCAACCUCUAAACUUCCAGCUACUUCUCCAGUGCCCUGCCUGUCUGCUUGUCGCCAUACUCCCUGCUGUGAGGACCAUGAAUUUACCCUCUGAAACUAUAAGCACAUCCAAUUAAAUGCUUUCUUUUAUAGUCGCCUUGGUCAUGGUAUCUCUUUACAGCAAUAGAAAUAUAACUAAGCCCAAUGGGUGAGCAAAGUAAUUAAUAACUUGGUAGACAUGCAAGUAAUUUGUACAUCUUUCCAUAACAUUAAUAAUUAACAGUGUGCAUUAUUUCAGAAUUUUCUCAUAGUCAGUGGAGUUUGCCAAACUUGCGUUGAACCCCUGGAGUAGGUAGUUGGAGUGGAGAGCUACAACAUCUAUUGGAAAUUGUCCUCUAGGUGCAGCUCCCACAUAGAGAAAAAGAAUGCUGGGAAACCUCUGUCUCAUGCUUGCCCUGGAAAGAGAAAGCAGGAAUCAAUAUGACGGUAAUCACAUGCCAUGAUGUAUAUUUUUUUUUUCAGAGCAGAUAGAAAACAAUUUAGGUGUGUUUGGAUAAAGUUUGCCCUAUUUAUUCAUUUUAAGUGAUAAAACCAACGUACAGAAAAGUUAAUCAACUUGUUUAAAAGUUGCUUGAUGCUAAGUUAAAAUGUCAAGGUUCAAGGCCAGUGAUUUGGAAUCUCAACACAAUGCUCUUUUUGCUAAAGCUUCUUUUCAUUGUGUGCAUGAACUGGGUUACAUUUAUAGCUUUUCUAUUUCUAAAUCAGGCUAUUUUGAAAUCAAAGACCCUGUUCUUCAACAAUUUCUUCUCUUUUUCCUAACCUGCUGUGACUGUUUUGAAAUUCCGUUCAACUGCCUUAACUAGGGCCACUUGACCUACCUUAGUGGUCCUCAAAUGUAAGCAUGCAUCAGAGUCAGUUGGAAGCCUGACUAAAGUACAGGUUCUUGGGCUUUAUCCUUUAAAUUUCUUACCCAGUGGGUCUCAAUUAUGUGUGUGUAAGAUUCUGUAUCUCUAGAGCCGGGGAGAUGACUUAGUGGGCAAAUUGCUUGCUGUUCAAGCAUGGGUUAUCUGAAUUUAAUCCCCAUAGUCCAUGCAAAAAGUUAGGCAUGGUGGUGCAUGCUUGUACUCCCAGCACUGUGACAGUGGAGACAGGCAGAUCUGUGGGCCUCCUAGUUGGCUAUCCUAGCUUAAUUCACUACCUUCAGACUCCUGUGAGAGACCCUGUCUCGAAGGACAAGGUGGACAGCUCCUGGAGAAUUUGAUAUUGACUUCUGUAUGUUUGCUCACCCAUAUCCCCCACCCAGAAUGCACAGUACACACACAACUGUAUUUCUAAGAUGUUUCCAGGAGCCACUGCUCACUGGGGAACAUUUUUGGAACUCUUUGAGAAACUGGCUCAACAUUGUUCAUUGAUGAACAGGCUUUGUAAUGGCUGUCGUUUCUUUGUUCUCAAUACUUCAGCCAGUGCGAUGUAGGAAGUUAGCAGAUAUUUGCCCAUCUCAAAACUCAGUUGUCCUGUUCCGUCAGUCAUCCAGCCUUGGCUGCCACAUAGAGAUCAGUGUGAGAAUGACUACAUAUCUGCACAGAUGGCUUGUGAGUCAGCCUGGAAUAAGAGAGGGGCAACUUAGCAUGUCUGAUUAGCAUUUGCAGCUCCUCAGGCCCAGCCUGCCUCCUUCUUUCAACAAAAUAAUGCUAGGAAUGCCAAUGAAAAUAAGACAGCCAUAAAAUGAUAUGCUGAUGAGCUGCUGUGUGCCUCCCAUCUUUAAAGAUGCAGGGUUACCACAUUUCACUAGUACAAUGCUUUGGUACAGCAUGGCAUCUAAGGUAGAGAAUGUAAGUAUAGCAAAAACGAAUAUAAGGUCAGAUUUUUAGAGGACUUGCAAGAACCCAGAUUGCAUGCAGAAUGCCCUGGAAGGAAUGUGAGUUAGCUCUUCAGCCUGUGUUCUAUAGGAGAGCAUUGUAGAAGGAGAUUGCAUUGGUCAUCAAACAGUCAGUCUGUAAUAUCUGCCAUGUAUCUUGACCAAAUUGUGGUUUAUUCUUUAGUUUUCAAAUCAAAAGAUAGUAGAAUAUCAGCUCUUGGCUUUACAUAUUCAUGUAAAGAUGUCUAAUGUGAAAAGUUUGGGAAAUAUAAUUCAUUAGGAUGCUGUUGGAGGCUGACUUUGCAUUCUUGAGAUCUGAGAAUUUAUUAAGAUUUUCAACUUGAAUAUUAUAAAGGUAAUCUGGUAAAAAUUAUAACCAAUACUGAUUCCUUUGCUACUAAUGAUAACCUCAGUGCUUUAAGUUAAAGCAGUAUAUUUCUAAGGUAUAGGGCAUUUUAGUGGAAUAUUGAAAAUGUUUGGUUCUACAUACGAUUAAUUCCAAAAAUUCAUUGUACUGUCAAUUAUUUUUGUAGCAUAUAUUGAGUUGAAAAGACAUGAUUUUAGCUGUCAGCAAAUCUGAUGAACUAUGAAAUGAGACACCUCAGCUUAAAUCUAUUUCUCUGUCAAAUAGCCCCAGACCACUUCAGGCUAAGAGGUGCUGAAUAGAAUCUCAGGCGGACGCAUCCUGUGUGGGUUUCUCCAGUUUCUUCUAAGCCGCACUCACUCACUGGUGGCUGUGCCAUUGUGGGAAACAUCUAAACUGUUAAAACACGACUUCACCACCGAUGGUUCAGAGAAAGUGAGAGAUUCUUCCUCUCUAAGGAAGCUUCCCGCUGAGGAUGACAUACUAUUUUUAGAAACUACAUUGCAAAUAAAUAUCAGAAGUAACCGGUCUCUGUAAAACAGUCCUGGAACAAAGAACAAGAACGUCUCUGGGUUGACAAGGAGAGACUGUACCAUGAAAGAAAAUGAUAGGAGAGGCCAGCCUAGGAUCAAAACAAGAAACAAUGGGAAAACAAACAAUGACGCUUAUCUCUUCCACAGGUGAGUCCAGCUUCCUGGCUUUCUGGCAAUCUUACUGACCAAUGAAUGACAAUGAUGUGGGCAUCUUGACCACAGAUGCACCUAAUUUUCCUCUCUCCUACCAUGCAUUUUAAUCAUUUGUAAAUAGUACUCCCUCUGUGGCAUUCUUUUAAUGUUUACUGGGAAAGCAGUGUCCUUUUCAAAUGGAUGAACAUGGACCCUUCACCCCGCUGAUUUCCCUGAGGAUGUGGACGAGGGCACUGGGUCCUGUGGAGCUCUCCAGUCUUCUAAGAUGUAAAAGGCAUCACAGUUCACACUGCCUGUCUCCCUGGCAGUCUUCUCUCCAAUCCCCUUCUGCGGUCUCAUCAGCUUGUGCUUCCGUACUGUGGAGAGGUGGAACCUUUUCUGUGAGAGGAAGGAGAUGGAGGUGACUGUGAUGAUACAAGUAACUUACGUCAGAAUUUUUGUCAGAAGAAGGAGCAUGGGAUGUGUGUAACAUUGCACUGUGGAUAUGUACAUGUGUGUAUUGUGUUUUGGAGGUGCAUAUGUGUAUCUUGUAUAUGUGCAUAUCUAUACUGUGUGGCACGUGGAUUUAUCUGUGAAUGGUGGUUAUAUGUUCACAGAGGUAUGUUUAUAUGGUUUAUAUGUGAAUUGGUUAACUUUAGAGGCGUCUAUAAGUGCCCAUAAUGAAUUUCUAUGUGAUGCAUAAUGCUUGUAGAUAUGGUACGAAUGUAGAAUAUAUACUUCUAAGGGAUGUAAUCCAUGUACCAUGUAUAUAUAUUCUAUGUAUAUACAUUGUGUAUCUAUGUAUAUUUUGGAUAAGUGUAAAGAUUAUAUAUGUAUCUGUAUUUGCAUCAGGGUGCAUAUUUUAGGAGAUAAAAUAUAUAUGUAUAGCAAAUUCA